ACACCAAGGUAUAUAUAAGGUCCACUCACAAAAUAUUUCUUGCCCCAUCCUAUGGCUGGAUAAUGGUACAUCAGUUACCAAAAAUAAAGCAAUGAAACUUUCUUAUCUUCAUGCUAUAUGCACUACUCUUCAUCUUAAUGAACAAGACAUGUCCUCCUAUCAGUUUCAAAGAUGUUAGAACUCAGAUUAAUCAUUGUCAUUGCUCUGCUCUGAUCACAUCACCAGGGACUCAUCACAACUAGGUCCAGCCACAAGUGCUACAAAUUAAACUGAAAUUAUUUCCGGAGCUAGAUUUAGUCCAUCAGAUGCGGCCUAUUGAUCUUGAAUUUGUAUCACUCAUUCCCCAGUCUCCCACUUGUACAACACUCCCUCUCCUCCAUCCUCUCCUCUCCAACCCCCAUGCACCUUCAAUAUCUACACCAGAGGGUUGGGGGAUGCCCUGGAGCAGAUUUUGGGGGCACAUAAGAAGAUGAGAGUCCCACUGCAUAAGUGGAACACUGCUGGUGCAAUAUUGAUUACAGUCCAAUAAGUCCAGAUUGGAGCACUGCCUCCCCAACAACCUACUGGUGCUGAUGUCCAGUAAUAAUCUGGAUAAGGCAAUUUACAACCCGAGGGCUGCAGGCUUUCAAAUAUAUUUUAUGUUCACACACAUUAGGGGAGCACAAAGCUGGUCAUAAUGGGAAGUACAGUUCCCAUGAUCUCCAGUUCUCUGGAAUCCACACAUGUAGAUUUCUCCAUUGCAGUAUAUAUUGGACUAGAUGAUCCUCGGGGUCCCUUCCAACUCUACAAUUCUAUCAUAGUGGUAUCAAAUUAAUUUUGGGAGCUCCAUAUUCCAACUCUGGAUUGGAUCCUUUUUUUGGCCAUUCCCUUUAAUUAGGGAAAUAAGGUUAAGGUAUAAGGACUAGCCACUUCGUAUUAGAACUGAGGCCUUCAAACACUGGUAUUCAAAGGCUUCUAUGUGACUGGAUGCAAUGAUGGAAUCUUUUUCAGGCAUCUGAAACCAGUUUGUACCAACAGCUAAUAUCCAUGUCAAUAAUCCAGUCAAUUCAAGUUACUUCCAGAUGUUCACACUGAUUUCUGUCAAGCAGCCUUUCCCAAUCUGGUGCUAUCCAGAGGUUUUGGCAGACAGCUUCUAUCACCCCCAGCCACUGGUCAGGGAUGAUGGAAAUUAUAGUCUGAAACCUCUGUUGUGGCUGAGGAAGGCUGCUGCAGAUCAUACCUAAGACUGGUUCAAUUUUCAUCUCUUUCAGCAAUCUUUAUUCAGUCUGCAGCUAAUUGGGGGAUUGCUUAAAUUGAAUCAAAUAAUGAAUUGUGUGUGCAGGUUCUUCUGACUCCAUCAAAAAUUCAACAGUUCAAAUGCUUGAACUGUUAUAGCUUAAAAUUGUUAAGUGUGCACUGUGAGAUUAUGGAUUUCAGAAUAAGUACUGAAAUAUGUGUACGUCUUGAUAAUGACAAAAGUAUUAUAACUAACUGCUGUUUUUAAAACACACACACACACAUACACAAUUCCUGGUCUGCUGCAAAAAACUAAUAGGCUGAUCCAUAAGGAUCCUACUAUGCAUUCUUCCACUACUUCAUUACAUAGCAGGACUUUAAAAAAUGAAACCUAAAAAACAUUGAAAUCAGAUAACGCUGAUGCUAGUUGAAUUCCAACCUUCAGUUCCAGCAAAGAGAGAGGAUGGGGAGGUAGAGCACAAAGCCCGAUACAAAUACAUUGAAGCAUUUCAGUCCUGUUGUGCUGGUGUUGCUGGCCAGCCUACCAUUUAUUAAGCUAUGGCACUUGUGGGCAUUGGGGGAGGGGGGAGCCAGUACCCUACAGAGUAAUCACAAUACACAAAGCGCAACAGGCUGAAUAAUAAUAACCAUAAACAUUUUAUUGGCUAUUUCCUAACGUAAAGGUCUAGCCCAGUAUGUGCAACAUAUACAGUUCAUAUGUACAGUAUAUAACCUAUGAAACUAAUUCCAAUAUUAAUACAUUUCAUCUUUUCUUAUCUUUUCCUAUUGUUUUUUCUUGUGAGUUCCUGUAUAACACAAUCCUUAGGCUUUCUUAUUGUUUCUUCUUGUAAGCAGGUAAAAAUAGAAAAGAAAAGUUAUGUUAGGAAAAAACCAAGAAAAUGUUUACGGUUAUUAUUAUUCAGCCUGUUGCUCUUUGUGUAUUGUGAUUACUGUAUUUGCGUAGCAAGGUAUUGAAUUUGUUUUGACCCUACAGAGGAAUGACAGAGUCACUACAGUUGAGGCAGCAGACACAGGUAUGGCUCACAUGUGCUUUAUCUUAAAAUAUGGCUCACCUUUUGUCUUCUGUGGAGCUUAUUGAAUAUUACAAACCAUCAUUUGCAUAUGUGCAAACCAUAGUCAUAUUUAUAAACAACCUGCUCCAAUGAGAUUUAAUCUGAUAGGUAUUUAAUCUAGAUGACAGGGUGCCGAUGUAAUUGCUGCAGCACAGGCCAUUAGAUGUAUUCAAACAGCUAUACAUAUAUUUAGGAUCAGAAUGUGAAUUUCUGUUUGAUUUGGUGGGGUCAAAUCCACUUGAAUAUGAGUACCCUGACUUAAAUUGUUUAUAGACCAAUUCACACAAUUAUUUUAGCAUGGAUGGGAGAAUGAAAAGUGAGUUGCCACCCCCACGUCCCCACACAUUUAUGGCUUCUCAUAUGAAUGCUCUGACGGGUGCUUCAGAUCACAAGUUUGCACCUCUUUGAGUAGAUUUGGGCCAGACUGGGUCCUUGUUUCCACAUGGCAAGAUCCCAUGUUGCUGGGUUUUAGGCCUUUCCUACCCGAGCAACCAUCGAGUUUGGCCAUGCCACGUGCUUUUAGUAUACAGCUGAUGAGUGCAGGUGAGCCAUGUGGGAUCUUGCCACAAGGAAGUGCAAUAUAAAUUUAUAUAGUCACUUUCUCAUCUGUAGCCCCUUAGAAGGAAGCCGAGUGUUACUACUAACAAGAACACAGAGACAUAGUAAUGGUCAGAACUUGCAUAUGACCAUCUCCCUUGGUAAGCACCAACAGUUGCUUCUCUGGAAAAAUUUCAAGAUUUUUGUUUGGAGCUCAGCAAGCCAUAAUGCUAAGACAUGUCAAGGAGGUGACUAAGUGAAAAAAGAUGUCAGGGAUGUAACUGAGGGCUGACCUGCACAUAGAUAUAUAUUCACCUCAGAAGUUGAAUUUUAGUCCCAAAUGAACACAUUUGAAGAAAAACUGGGAACUUUUAAAUGAUAUAUGUCUGCUGUUAAUGGUUUCUCAAAUUCCUCUGCACCUUUUGCUACAAGAUUUGGCAUCACUCAUGUGUCUAUAGCUGUAACUCUCGGGUGGCUGGGAAAGUAGUCAAUGUUCACUGUAUAGUAACCCUCACAAUUCUAAUAGGCCAUGGAAGUCCAAUGUUAGCCAAGUUAUUUUUAUAGGUCAAUUUGAAUGUUUUUUUCUCUCUUAUAGCAUUGGAUCUACUGCUAAUUUUGAAAUGACUUUUUGAUGUAAUCCCCCCCCCUUUUGGUUGGAUACUAUGUAGUGUAAUGUAUAAUUGCUAUUGUUUAUUGCUUUUACAGUCAUAUUUAUUAAACAGAUUCUGUCUC